rnacentral:rRNA from 1 species
AACGAGACCUUAACCUGCUAAAUAGCCCGUAUUGCUUUGGCAGUACGCUGGCUUCUUAGAGGGACUAUCGGCUCAAGCCGAUGGAAGUUUGAGGCAAUAACAGGUAUGUGAUGAACUUAGAUGGUAGGGGAAGAAAGGGAGAUAAAAUGAAGGAGACAGAGAGGGAGAAAUGGACCGGAAGGUCCGGGUAAUCUUGUGAAACU